rnacentral:rRNA from 1 species
UACGUAGGGUGCGAGCGUUGUCCGGAAUUAUUGGGCGUAAAGAGCUUGUAGGCGGUUUGUCGCGUCUGCUGUGAAAAUCCGAGGCUCAACCUCGGACUUGCAGUGGGUACGGGCAGACUAGAGUGUGGUAGGGGGAGACUGGAAUUCCUGGUGUAGCGGUGAAAUGCGCAGAUAUCAGGAGGAACACCGAUGGCGAAGGCAGGUCUCUGGGCCACUACUGACGCUGGAGAAGCGGAAAGCAUGGGGAGCGAAACAGG